CUUAGUGUCUUCGUUGGCAUCAUUAUAAACUGGAAAUCCUGCUUGUUGGUCUAUGAGGUUUCCUGUUUUUGGAAAUUAGGUGGACCAACGGCCUGGACGACAAAGCUUAGUGGCUCUCCGUUGGCAUCAUGCAGUUAUACUAAAAAACCUGGACGUUGGCCCAUAACCUUUUCUGUUUUUGGAAACUGGGUGGACCAACGGCCUGGACGACACUGACAGGCUCUCAGCCUCCUCAUGACGUAAUCUACCGUUGGUCCAUUCAUCAGAGUCGAUUGUAAACAAUCUGGAAAGUGUAAUAACUCACUCUCUAACAACGUCUGCAAGAACUGAGUCAGAGAAAAUCUUUGUUACAAUCCCGCCAGAAGGUGAUUACGUAACAAGACAAGGAGUGUUUCAACGGAUAUCAUUGAAACUGUCGUUCGUUUCCAAUCCCUCCCUUUUCUAUCUAUGGUUCAUGCAUGUGUUCACAGAUCACGUCCAGUUCAUCAGCAAAACUCUGACCAAUGCAUGCACCAUGCAGAAGGCCCACUCGUUAAUGCAGAAUGAUGCCAGGCUCAAAGAUAGUUACUCCAAGCUCUGAUGUUGAAGAAUAUUCUGGAAAUUGCUCUGUGUAGCAUAAUUUCAUGUAUAGCAAAACCUGAAGGUAUAAAAAGCUACUUCUGGUAGCUAGGUUGGAAGGGUAGAAACUUCUACACGUGUGAUAAUUGUCCAUAUUAAUUGCAUGGUGGCCAAAAGAUAUGCUAAUUCUGUGACAGGUUAUAUACAUGCAUAUACGGCACAUGCAGUUUAAUGUAGAUAAGUUCCUAAUUUAUUUGUUGCUAGGCUAAUGAUAAUUAUGUUAAAAAUAUUCGUUUUUCGGCUGAUUCCAGAAUAAAUUAUAAUGCUUGUCAUUUUUGUCAUUUUUCUUCAGAGGCAAAGGCUACCGCAAAUGGCAUCACUAUUGUACACCGAGAAAGAUUUUGGCAUAUUUUCUAAGUUUUAUUCAGUAAUGGGUGUUGCAUUGGUCCCAGAUCACUUCCAAUUGAUUAGCAACAUUCUGCCUCGACAGUUGAAACUGACCAACCAGAAGACCCCGGUUAUGGUUGAUGUCGAAACAAAUGAAGAUAAUUAUAGAUAUUGAAGAAAAUGUUGGCGUGCCAAAUGACCCUGAACACCUGUUAAAUAGUCUAAGCAGCACCUUCUGGAUUCUAGGAAAAUAUGGUUCGAGGCUGAGAGGGAAGUAGAGGAGCUCGUGAAGAAAACAAACGUCUCAGAAAAGAAAUUAAGUGUAUAGGUUCUAUUGUAAAAUGAUCACCACUCCAUCGAUACUCAUAGUGCAUGUGUUGUGUCAUGUAAUCUCGAUCUCCCAUGCAUACCUACUUGUAUACGUAUAGCAAUUGUUUGUUUAUGUGAAGGAUUGUACAAUCUGCAUCAGCUAGUGCAGUAUUCAAUUUAUGUGUUUAUAAUCUUCUACUGGGCCAUGGUCGUCAAAUUGUUGUUGCUUGUUCAAAGCUUUUUUCUCUUACGAUUAGUACCAAGUCCACGUGGCUUCUUCCGAGAGAAAGUCCCUUCCCAAAUGAAUCCUGGGUAUCUAGUAUUGGCUACAGCACAAACAAAGGACGUAAUGACUGCUGUACACCUGAGAAAGAUUUUAGCAGCUUGUUUGGAGAAAUGUCCUAGCAGUACAACUAUAUCACCUCCAAUUGAUCAUGACCAACCAUGCAAAAGAUGCCUCGAAACUGAGAGGAACGUUGAGGAGCUGAGUGAAGAAAACAAACGUCUCAGAAAAGAAAUAAAGUGUGUAGGUUCUAUUUAUAUUGUGAACGAUCACGAUUCCAUCAAAAGUUUUUAAAAUUUUAGUUCAAAUACCUAUUUAACUGUCAAAUGGAGAUAUGCGUAAAAUGAACAUUAUUGUUCACUUUCUUAUUCAUCCAUAUGGUCCAUUCAGUAUUCAACUUGUGUGUAAGUUUACCUAUAUAAGUCAGCUGGCAUUCAGUUGCAUGCCUGUUCAAAACUUUUCGUAUAGAUUCUAGCGAUUAGUACCGGGUCGAUGUGGUUGCCAUUGCCUGAAGCAUGAUAGGUUCUUUGACGGUUCUUUAAUUCCAAGCUCUAAAGAGAUUGUUGUAGACUUACCGUGCAGCGGGAAAUUUUCAUGAGGUGCAACAUUUCGCGUUUUUCGGAGGCAGACAGAAAACGAGAAAAUUAAAAGAUAAACUCUUACGCACCGGUAUUUCACAUUCUUGUGGGUGUGGUUUCCUCAGUGGCGUAGGCAGAGGGGGGCUGACGGGGCUAGAGCCCCCCCCCCUUGUGCUUCAUCAACUCCAACUCAGCUUGAAUUACCUUGAUCUGUCAAUCUAUUCUGCACUCUACUGCAUGCGUAGCUACUAGAAUGAUGUCAUUCAAUGGAAAUGUGGGCAGGGCCAUGUACUGCGCAUGCUUACUGCUGAUGAAAAGUGAUGACCAGGUAAAAUUCCAAGCUAUUCGCGCCUGCUCUGGUCCUGCUCAAGCCCUGCCCUUCCCAAAAUCCUGGCUAUGCGCCUAUGCCACUGUUCCUGGCAUUGAAAUGCGAAUAUUAGAACCCACGAAAAUUUAUGCUGAGGGCUUUGGAGCCAAAUAGCGAACAAUUCCCGCUGUACGGUAUUAUGAACCGAAUGUAUGAAUCUACUUUAUAAGGUUUUUUUUGUAGCUCCAGAAAACACAGACAUUUUCAGGUGUGAUAGACUACAAUUGUCCAAAUUGGUGACCUAAAGAUGUGGUGUUUUCCUUAUUGACAGGUCAGGACUCAGAAGCACACGUAUUACUAAGCACUGUGAUAAACAAAUAUAUAUCACACCUACGGAGAUAUGCGCCCGGUACUGCAUGUGGUUACUCCAAUUAAGGAGCAGGCUUUAAGAUCAAUACUUGUUCCCACGUAGGAGGAGAAUGAAGUAGGAAAAAGACUGAAGGAACCGAAGGAAAUCGUGACCCACACCCUGAGGCAGUCAAGCAAGAUUACCUCCAGUUAUCAGCAACACUUCGCCUCGGCUGUUGAACUGACCAACCAAAAGAUCUGAUUUGAUUUCGAAACAACAGAAGACCUGUUGAAUUAUCGAGUUCUGGAUUCUAAGAAAAGAAGUCUCGAGGCUGAGAGGAAAUUUAAGGAGCUCAGUGAAGAAAACAGAAAUGUUUAUUAUGACGAAACGAUUCAAAUGAUCACAACUCAGAUAUGAGAUGUCGAAGUGUAAAACAUUUUGUUAACUUUCUUGUUUGUAUCCUAUUCAUCUCAUCCACUGUGCAUUCAGUAUUCCACUUGUGUGUAUAGUGUUUACGUAUUUGCUAAGGAGAUAUGUUUGAAUUUGUAAUUUGUACUUCCAUCAUUAUACAUAAUGGCUAUCAAGUGAGUCUUGUUGUUGCCUCUUCAAAGCGUUUUAUAAUAAUAAUAAUAAUAAUAAUA